rnacentral:rRNA from 1 species
UACGUAGGCAGCAAGCGUUGUUCGGAGUUACUGGGCGUAAAGGGCGCGUAGGCGGUCGUGACAAGUCACUUGUGAAAUCUCCGGGCUUAACUCGGAACGGUCAAGUGAUACUGUCGGACUAGAGUACAGAAGGGGCAACUGGAAUUCUCGGUGUAGCGGUGAAAUGCGUAGAUAUCGAGAGGAACACCUGCGGCGAAGGCGGGUUGCUGGGCUGAUACUGACGCUGAGGCGCGAAAGCCAGGGGAGCGAACGGG